rnacentral:rRNA from 1 species
GAUGAACGCUGGCGGCGUGCCUAACACAUGCAAGUCGAACGAAGCUCCGAUUCUUGAGAUUUCGGUCAAGAGGAAAGGAUGACUUAGUGGCGGACGGGUGAGUAAUACGUGAGCAACCUGCCUUUCAGAGGGGGACAACAGUUGGAAACGACUGCUAAUACCGCAUAAUGUAUCGAGGUGGCAUCACCAUGAUACCAAAGAUUUAUCGCUGAAAGAUGGGCUCACGUCUGAUUAGUUAGUUGGUAGGGUAAUGGCCUACCAAGACUGCGAUCAGUAGCCGGACUGAGAGGUCGAACGGCCACAUUGGGACUGAGAUACGGCCCAGACUCCUACGGGAGGCAGCAGUGGGGAAUAUUGGGCAAUGGGCGCAAGCCUGACCCAGCAACGCCGCGUGAAGGAAGAAGGCUUUCGGGUUGUAAACUUCUUUUAGCAGGGACGAAACAAAUGACGGUACCUGCAGAAUAAGCUCCGGCUAACUACGUG